rnacentral:rRNA from 1 species
CAGCCGCCGCGGGAAUACGGAGGGUGCAAGCGUUAUCCGGAUUUAUUGGGUUUAAAGGGUCCGUAGGCGGAUCUGUAAGUCAGUGGUGAAAUCUCACAGCUUAACUGUGAAACUGCCAUUGAUACUGCAGGUCUUGAGUAAAUUUGAAGUGGCUGGAAUAAGUAGUGUAGCGGUGAAAUGCAUAGAUAUUACUUAGAACACCAAUUGCGAAGGCAGGUCACUAAGAUUUAACUGACGCUAAUGGACGAAAGCGUGGGGAGCGAACAGGAUUAGAUACCCCCGUAGUCCCUGUCUCUUAUAC